rfam:Alligator mississippiensis ScZkoYb_223, whole genome shotgun sequence.
GCAUUGGUGGUGUAGUGGUGAGCAUAGCUGCCUUCCAAGCAGUGGAGCUGGGUUUGAGUCCUGGCCAAUGCA